UCCAGGCAAAUCCGGAUAAUCAAGGCUGAGGUGUGAUGACGAGGCACUACGGUGCUGAAGUAACAAAUGCCCUGCUUCCAGGAAAAGCCUCUAAGCAUCAGGUAACAUCAAAUCGUACCCCAAACCGACACAGGUGGUCAGGUAGAGAAUACCAAGGCGCUUGAGAGAACUCGGGUGAAGGAACUAGGCAAAAUGGUGCCGUAACUUCGGGAGAAGGCACGCUGGUGUGUAGGUGAAGUCCCUGCGGAUGGAGCUGAGACCAGUCGAAGAUACCAGCUGGCUGCAACUGUUUAUUAAAAACACAGCACUGUGCAAACACGAAAGUGGACGUAUACGGUGUGACGCCUGCCCGGUGCCGGAAGGUUAAUUGAUGGGGUUAUCCGUAAGGAGAAGCUCUUGAUCGAAGCCCCGGUAAACGGCGGCCGUAACUAUAACGGUCCUAAGGUAGCGAAAUUCCUUGUCGGGUAAGUUCCGACCUGCACGAAUGGCGUAAUGAUGGCCAGGCUGUCUCCACCCGAGACUCAGUGAAAUUGAACUCGCUGUGAAGAUGCAGUGUACCCGCGGCAAGACGGAAAGACCCCGUGAACCUUUACUAUAGCUUGACACUGAACAUUGAGCCUUGAUGUGUAGGAUAGGUGGGAGGCUUUGAAGCGUGGACGCCAGUCUGCGUGGAGCCAACCUUGAAAUACCACCCUUUAAUGUUUGAUGUUCUAACGUUGGCCCCUGACCGGGGUUGCGGACAGUGUCUGGUGGGUAGUUUGACUGGGGCGGUCUCCUCCCAAAGCGUAACGGAGGAGCACGAAGGUUAGCUAAUCCUGGUCGGACAUCAGGAGGUUAGUGCAAUGGCAUAAGCUAGCUUGACUGCGAGCGUGACGGCGCGAGCAGGUGCGAAAGCAGGUCAUAGUGAUCCGGUGGUUCUGAAUGGAAGGGCCAUCGCUCAACGGAUAAAAGGUACUCCGGGGAUAACAGGCUGAUACCGCCCAAGAGUUCAUAUCGACGGCGGUGUUUGGCACCUCGAUGUCGGCUCAUCACAUCCUGGGGCUGAAGUAGGUCCCAAGGGUAUGGCUGUUCGCCAUUUAAAGUGGUACGCGAGCUGGGUUUAGAACGUCGUGAGACAGUUCGGUCCCUAUCUGCCGUGGGCGCUGGAGAAUUGAGGGGGGCUGCUCCUAGUACGAGAGGACCGGAGUGGACGCAUCACUGGUGUUCGGGUUGUCAUGCCAAUGGCACUGCCCGGUAGCUAAAUGCGGAAGAGAUAAGUGCUGAAAGCAUCUAAGCACGAAACUUGCCCCGAGAUGAGUUCUCCCUGAGACUUUAAGUCUCCUGAAGGAACGUUGAAGACGACGACGUUGAUAGGCCGGGUGUGUAAGCGCAGCGAUGCGUUGAGCUAACCGGUACUAAUGAACCGUGAGGCUUAACCUU
rnacentral:rRNA from 1 species